CGAGGCGGCGGGAGGAGGCAGUGCCCGGAGUCCCGCGGCGAGAGCGCCGCCCCUCCGGCCCGGGCGUGGUCAGCGCCGCCCCGCCCGCCCGCCCCGCUGGGUCCCCGCGGCUCCCCGCGCCGGGGCUGGACCACGGUCCACAGGUCAUGUGCUGAGGUCUUAGCCCCCAGUAGCUCGGAAUGUGACUGUGUUUGGAGACAGAGCCUUUAUCGAGAGUCUCUCCUAACUCAGGCAGAAGACCGAUGGGCCAAGCAGCCAGUGACAGAAUGGCAACUACCACCUCAAGCCACCACCCCUUGAGCCGGCAUGUCCCCCGGGUGACUGAACCCAUGACAAUGACCGGCCUGACCUGAACCGCCCACCUGCACGUUCCCACGGAUCUUUGUCCCACCUUUUCCCUCCGUAAACCCGGACGUCUUUCCAGCUCUCUAGGGACAGCCUUUGAGACGUCAGGGCGCCGUCUUCCUGGCGUCGGCCUCGCUGACAUAAACUCCUUUCCUGUGUCACCGCUGCUCUUCUCCUGGCCUCAGGAUCUUGUCGGCAGUGAGUGGCCGCACCCGGUCUGUCUGGGUCCCUGGACUCAGGCGCUCUUGCUCCCCGGCCUGCCCGGCUAUACCUUCAGCUCAAAAGAAUUGAUAUGGCAAAGGGACAUACCGGGGGGGCGGCAUGUUCUGAACUCCUUCAAAACCAGAUCUCGGGCAAGGCAGGAGCACCCCAAGCGUGCAGCCUCCCAGGCAGGAGAAAGGAGACCUCCUGUGGCUUUUCUCCCAUGGGGUGCCAUCCUGUUUCCUGAGAUCCCACUUCUUCUGUGUCAUCAGAAAGACACCUCCCAGGGCUUCUGGGUUCCGCCUCUGACCUCCUACGCCCCUGGCAAACACUAACGCCGUGUCCGCAGCGACACUGGGUCUGGGCUCCGACUGGCCUUCAGCUGCGUGCGGGCAGAGGCUCCUGCAGGCCCAGGGUGCUUCGGGGGUCCCUGAGGCUGGUUCCUCGUUUGCACCUCGGGGCCAGUGCACCCAUGAUUUGGAGCCCCUCCCGCCUGGGGGCUGCUCGGAGCACCCUCUCCCCCUGGGAGGGCCCUGCAGGCCGGGAGAUUGAACGACCGUGAGGGUCUGGGCCAGGGGGACCCUCAGACUGGGUGGGCGCCAGAUGCCCUCUGUCCGGUCCUGCCUCCUGAUUACUCAGAGGACAUUUUAUUCUUCCGGGGGUUUCACCCCUGCCCUGCUGGCCCUACUCUGCUCAUCACCCCUGCCAGUGUCCCCGGGGGGAACAGAGAGGGCCUCUGGGGCCCCCACUGGGAUACUCCCUGGAGCCAGGCUCAGGCUCAGCCCUGGGAACGCCCUGGUGGGGGACCCGCUUGGCCUCCCCUUCUUGGGACCUCUGAUCUUUCUGUUGUUUGGCCUUUGUUUGCCUGCAGUUUCCCAGGAAAUUUGCUUUGGGGGAUUCCAGCUGGCCUCAGCUGAGCCUAGAGGACAGCACUUGUGUCCGUGGGCCUCCCUCUGGUCUGGCAGGC